GUUGAGAGGUUUUUUUUUUUGAAACACAAAUGAUACUGUCUGAGUUGAGAGGUUGAAUGAUGAUUUCGGUGAUAUUUUUGCAAAUGGCAAACUUAACAUUUCUAAUGAAGUUAGUUAAUAACUAGGCCUUGACUACUAUUGGUCCGAGUAAGUUUUAGUGUAUUAGGAUAAUAACACCAAAUAUACAUAUAUGUAAUCUGAUUCCUAUAUAGUAG
rnacentral:lncRNA from 1 species